rnacentral:rRNA from 1 species
GCUGGUAACUGGGGCGAAGUCGUAACAAGGUAGCCGUACCGGAAGGUGCGGCUGGAUCACCUCCUUU